rnacentral:rRNA from 1 species
GAUGAACGCUGGCGGCGUGCCUAGUACAUGCAAGUCGAGCGAGAUGUUAGCGCAUGAACCUUCGGGGGAUUAUGCUAACGGAAAGCGGCGGACGGGUGAGUAACGCGUAGGCAACCUGCCCCUGACAGAGGGAUAGCCAUUGGAAACGAUGAUUAAAACCUCAUGACACCGUAGAAGCACAUGCUUCAUCGGUCAAAGAUUUAUCGGUCAGGGAUGGGCCUGCGUCUGAUUAACUAGUUGGUGAGGUAACGGCUCACCAAGGUGACGAUCAGUAGCCGACCUGAGAGGGUGAUCGGCCACAUUGGAACUGAGACACGGUCCAAACUUCUACGGAAGGCAGCAGUAGGGAAUCUUGCACAAUGGGCGAAAGCCUGAUGCAGCAACGCCGCGUGAAGGAUGAAGGCCUUCGGGUUGUAAACUUCUGUUCUAAGGGAAGAAACGAAUGACGGUACCUUAGGAGCAAGCCCCGGCUAACUACGUGCCAGCAGCCGCGGUAAUACGUAGGGGGCAAGCGUUAUCCGGAAUUAUUGGGCGUAAAGAGUGCGUAGGUGGUUACCUAAGCGCAAGGUUUAAUUUAGAGGCUCAACCUCUACUUGCCUUGCGAACUGGGCUACUUGAGUGCAGGAGGGGAAAGCGGAAUUCCUAGUGUAGCGGUGAAAUGCGUAGAUAUUAGGAGGAACACCAGCGGCGAAGGCGGCUUUCUGGACUGUAACUGACACUGAGGCACGAAAGCGUGGGUAGCAAACAGG